GACGAACGCUGGCGGCGCGCCUAACACAUGCAAGUCGAACGAGCAAAGAGGAGCUUGCUUCUCUGAGCGAGUGGCGAACGGGUGAGUAACGCGUGAGGAACCUGCCUCAAAGAGGGGGACAACAGUUGGAAACGACUGCUAAUACCGCAUAAGCCCACGGGUCGGCAUCGACCAGAGGGAAAAGGAGCAAUCCGCUUUGAGAUGGCCUCGCGUCCGAUUAGCUAGUUGGUGAGGUAAUGGCCCACCAAGGCGACGAUCGGUAGCCGGACUGAGAGGUUGAACGGCCACAUUGGGACUGAGACACGGCCCAGACUCCUACGGGAGGCAGCAGUGGGGAAUAUUGCACAAUGGGGGAAACCCUGAUGCAGCGACGCCGCGUGGAGGAAGAAGGUCUUCGGAUUGUAAACUCCUGUUGUUGAGGAAGAUAAUGACGGUACUCAACAAGGAAGUGACGGCUAACUACGUGCCAGCAGCCGCGGU
rnacentral:rRNA from 1 species